UACAGAGGUCUCAAGCGUUGUUCGGAAUCACUGGGCGUAAAGGGUGCGUAGGCGGGUCUUUUAAGUCAGGGGUGAAAUCCUGGAGCUCAACUCCAGAACUGCCUUUGAUACUGAGGAUCUUGAGUACGGGAGAGGUGAGUGGAACUGCGAGUGUAGAGGUGAAAUUCGUAGAUAUUCGCAAGAACACCAGUGGCGAAGGCGGCUCACUGGCCCGUAACUGACGCUGAGGCACGAAAGCGUGGGGAGCAAACAGGG
rnacentral:rRNA from 1 species